UUUCUUCUUUAUUAUAUGAGUGCUAUGGGAUUAUCACUUGGACCCAAUGCUCAUUCCUUCGUGAGUAAAGAGGACGCAGAGCGCAUCUCAAUUUCGGACGCAAGAGCGCAAGGGUCGACGCGCGAGGGGAGAAUGGCUCGUAGACAACAACAACUAAACAUUUUGGAGGCAAACGACGAAGCAGAGGGUUCCUCUUAUGGUGCUGGAAUAGAUGACACGAUAUAAUUUGGACCAGAGAUAUCUUGCUCACCGCCAAGCACUUUUUUUUGGAGGUCUUUCCGCAGAUCAUCUACAGGAGCUAGGGGAUCCAAUAUUUUUUUAAAUAAAUUUCUGAUUGUUAAAGUACAUUAAAUUCUGUUUAAGUACAUUUUUUCCAUUAAUGUAUAAAAUUAAAUGCCUCUUU
rnacentral:lncRNA from 1 species